rnacentral:rRNA from 1 species
AACACAUGCAAGUCGAGGGGAAACGACAUCGAAAGCUUGCUUUUGAUGGGCGUCGACCGGCGCACGGGUGAGUAACGCGUAUCCAACCUGCCCACCACUUGGGGAUAACCUUGCGAAAGUAAGACUAAUACCCAAUGACGUCUCUAGAAGACAUCUGAAAGAGAUUAAAGAUUUAUCGGUGAUGGAUGGGGAUGCGUCUGAUUAGCUUGUUGGCGGGGUAACGGCCCACCAAGGCAACGAUCAGUAGGGGUUCUGAGAGGAAGGUCCCCCACAUUGGAACUGAGACACGGUCCAAACUCCUACGGGGAGGCAGCAGUGAGGAAUAUUGGUCAAUGGACGAGAGUCUGAACCAGCCAAGUAGCGUGCAGGAAGACGGCCCUAUGGGUUGUAAACUGCUUUUUAUUAAGGGAACUAAAAGUGAAUCUCGUGAGACUUUUUGCAUGUACCUUAUGAAUAAGGACCGGCUAAUUCCGUGCCAGCAGCCGCGGUAAUACGGAAGGUCCGGGCGUUAUCCGGAUUUAUUGGGUUUAAAGGGAGCGUAGGCCGGAGAUUAAGCGUGUUGUGAAAUGUAGACGCUCAACGUCUGCACUGCAGCGCGAACUGGUUUCCUUGAGUACGCACAAAGUGGGCGGAAUUCGUGGUGUAGCGGUGAAAUGCUUAGAUAUCACGAAGAACUCCGAUUGCGAAGGCAGCUCACUGGAGCGCAACUGACGCUGAAGCUCGAAAGUGCGGGUAUCGAACAGGAUUAGAUACCCUGGUAGUCCGCACGGUAAACGAUGGAUGCCCGCUGUUGGUCUGAAUAGGUCAGCGGCCA